rnacentral:tRNA from 1 species
GGUUGUAGCUCAGUGGUAGAGUGCUUGCCUUGUAUGUGUGAGGCCCUGGGUUCAAUCCUCAACACCA